GGGGUUAAUGCGCAUUAAAAAAAGUUUUAUGUCAUUUACUAUCCCCACCCCACCCUAAAAAUCUCAUUUCCAAUAAAACAGCAAAAUAUGGAUUUUUCCAAAACUGUCUAAUAAAUACUUAUUUUGGGUGUUUCAUCUUUUUAAUAAUCUGUCUCAAAGACAAAAAAUCAUAAAACACACAGUAUAAAAACAUACAAAAAUAAUUUUUUUUAUAACUUUUCACCCCAAAAAUCAGAAAUUUUCCACCAAAACAGGCCUAAAUUCAAACAUUUACAUAAAAAAUGGCACACUUCCUCUGUUAAACUUUUUUCCACAGUUAAUAUGCAGUUAAGCAUAGAUAAACUAAACAUUUUAAGCCAAAAAACAUUAGGGGUUAGUGCACAUUUAAAAAAAGUUCUCAGUUGUUUACUAUCCCCACCCCGCCCCAAAAAUCACAUUUCUAACAAAAAAGCAAUAUAUGGAUUUUUUU
rnacentral:lncRNA from 1 species